GAUGAAGUAUCCUUCUUUGCCUCGCGUUUCAUUAAUGUCUGAUAGAAUUCAACUAGCUCAGGAGCUCUGUGAACUUUAUCACCACUUCCUGCCCCUCUUGGCAAGCUUCCAGGUGGAGGAGGUGGACGUGGUGGUCCACCAGGAGGUGGGGGUGGGGGUGGCGGGGCACCUGGCAGAGGAGGUGGCACUCCAGUUGAAGUAAGUUUAUUUGAGUCAACCACAGCACCACUAGAUGGUUUAGGAGGUGGCCGAGGCACCCUAGGAGGCCUCUUCUCAAUGUCAGCAAGUCUCAUCUUGCUUAUUGAUUGAGAAUCAACAGCUUUGCCGUCAUUAGAUUGGCCAGCAGAAGCAAUUGAUUUCUCUUUUAUUUGAGAAAGUUGUGAUGGCAGACUU
rnacentral:lncRNA from 1 species